rnacentral:rRNA from 1 species
AUUGAACGCUGGCGGCAGGCCUAACACAUGCAAGUCGAGCGGGAACUUCGGUUCUAGCGGCGGACGGGUGAGUAAUGCGUAGGAAGCUACCCGACAGAGGGGGAUACCAGUUGGAAACGACUGUUAAUACCGCAUAAUGUCUACGGACCAAAGUGUGGGACCUUCGGGCCACAUGCUGUCGGAUGCGCCUACGUGGGAUUAGCUAGUUGGUGAGGUAAUGGCUCACCAAGGCGACGAUCCCUAGCUGGUUUGAGAGGAUGAUCAGCCACACUGGAACUGAGACAAGGUCCAGACUCCUACGGGAGGCAGCAGUGGGGAAUAUUGGACAAUGGGCGAAAGCCUGAUCCAGCCAUGCCGCGUGUGUGAAGAAGGCCUUCGGGUUGUAAAGCACUUUCAGCGAGGAGGAAGGGUGGUGUGUUAAUAGCACAUCAUUUUGACGUUACUCGCAGAAGAAGCACCGGCUAACUCUGUGCCAGCCGCCGCGGUAACAC